rnacentral:rRNA from 1 species
GACGAACGCUGGCGGCGUGCUUAACACAUGCAAGUCGAACGGAAAGGCCCUGCUUUUGUUCGUUUCUCGAGUGGCGAACGGGUGAGUAACACGUGAGUAACCUCCCCUUGACUUUCUGAUAACUUCACGAAACUGGGGCUAAUACCCGAUAUGAGCUCUUGCUGCAUGUUGUUCGUUGGAAAAUUUCGGCUGUUCGGGAUGGUAUCGCUGGUUAUCCGCUUGUUGGUGGGGUAGUGGCUUACCAAGGCUUCGACGGGUAGCCGGCAUGAGCGGGUGACCGGCGACCUUGGGACUGAGAUACGGACCAGACUGGUACGGGCGGCAGUGGUGGGGAAUAUUGCACAAUGGGGGGAAGCCUGAUGCAGCAACGCCGCGUGCGGGAUGACGGCCUUCGGGUUGUAAACCGAUUUCGCCUGUGACGAAGCGUGAGUGACGGUAAUGGGUAAAGAAGCACCGGCUAACUACGUG